UACGUAGGGGGCGAGCGUUGUCCGGAUUUAUUGGGCGUAAAGAGCGUGUAGGCGGUUCGGUAAGUCUGUCGUGAAAUCCUGAGGCUCAACCUCGGGCGUGCGAUGGAUACUGCCGGGCUAGAGGGUGGUAGAGGCGAGUGGAAUUCCCGGUGUAGCGGUGAAAUGCGAAGAUAUCGGGAGGAACACCAGUAGCGAAGGCGGCUCGCUGGGCCACACCUGACGCUGAGACGCGAAAGCUAGGGGAGCGAACAGG
rnacentral:rRNA from 1 species